UACAUAGGGGGCAAGCGUUAUCCGGAAUUACUGGGUGUAAAGGGUGCGUAGGCGGUUAGGAAAGUCAGAUGUGAAAACCCAUGGCUCAACCAUGGGAAUGCAUUUGAAACUUCUUGACUAGAGUACAGGAGAGGUAAGUGGAAUUUCUAGUGUAGCGGUAAAAUGCGUAGAUAUUAGGAGGAACACCAGUGGCGAAGGCGACUUACUGGACUGAAACUGACGCUGAGGCACGAAAGCAUGGGGAGCGAACAGG
rnacentral:rRNA from 1 species